UGCAAUUAAUAUUUAGGUAAAUUCCACUGGC
rnacentral:piRNA from 1 species